CCUUCUCCGUCCCUGCGAUCUUUGUCUCACAAAUUACCAACCGCACUUUCUUGCUGAAAAACCACCUAACCUGUAGAAGUUUCUUCGGUUCUUCAGUUGGAUUCCGAGAAAUUUUUUACCUAGAAAAGCUAGCGUUUCCUGGGGACCCUGGUUUUUCCUUUUUUGCGGUUUUGUAACUCAAGGCUUUGGAGAGUAACAGCCACGAAUCCGGGGCUCCGAUUGAAUUGGGUUGUUCUUGCAAGGAUGAUUUGGCUGCUGCCCACAAGAACUGUGCUGGUACUUUGGUAAAUUGUUAGCUAACACGCUUAGACAGAAGGAAAAAGCAAAGACAGGAAUUGUUGGCUAAGACACUUAUGCAGAAGGAAAAAUCGAACAUAAUGACGCUUAGUCAGACAAGACUGGUAUUUGCAACCAUAACGCAACAUAAUGAAGAAACGUACCAUGAGGAUUUUGAACAAACAUAAUGACGUGUAACCAACAGCAUACAAAUAUAAAAAAUAUAAAAGAGAAUGCUAUACAAUCACUAUAAGUGAUGUCAAAGCCAUCAAUCUUCUAUUUCUGUUUCUGGAAAAAAAGUCAUGUAGUCAAGAUGUCGUUCCAUUUGCUUACCAUGAUGAGUUGAAAUUUGAACUAGCUUGCUGUUCUUGCA